rnacentral:rRNA from 1 species
AAUUGGAGGGCAAGUCUGGUGCCAGCAGCCGCGGUAAUUCCAGCUCCAAUAGCGUAUAUUAAAGUUGUUGCAGUUAAAAAGCUCGUAGUUGAAUUUCGGGAUCAAUAUUUCGGUCAUGCCGUUGGUAUGCACUGUUAUCAUUGAUUUCUCACCUUCUAAAGAACCGUAAUGCCAUUAAUUUGGUGUUACGGGGAAUUAGGACUGUUACCUUGAAAAAAUUAGAGUGUUUAAAGCAGGCUCACGCUUGAAUACAUUAGCAUGGAAUAAUGAAAUAGGACAUCCGAUUCUAUUUUGUUGGUUUCUAGGAUCGAUGUAAUGAUUAAUAGGGAUAGUUGGGGGCAUUAGUAUUCAAUUGUCAGAGGUGAAAUUCUUGGACUUAUUGAAGACUAACUACUGCGAAAGCAUUUGCCAAGGAUGUUUUCAUUAAUCAAGAACGAAAGUUAGGGGAUCGAAGACGAUCAGAUACCGUCGUAGUCUUAACCAUAAACUAUGCCGACUAGGGAUCGGAUGAUGUUAAUUUUUUAAUGACUCAUUCGGCGCCUUACGGGAAACCAAAGUGU